UCCGUAGGUGGAUAAUUAAGUCAGAGGUGAAAUCCUGCAGCUCAACUGUAGAAUUGCCUUUGAUACCGGUUAUCUUGAGUCAUUAUGAAGUGGUUAGAAUGUGUAGUGUAGCGGUGAAAUGCAUAGAUAUUACACAGAAUACCGAUUGCGAAGGCAGAUCACUAAUAAUGUACUGACACUGAGGGACGAAAGCGUGGGGAGCGAACAGGAUUAGAUACCCUGGUAGUCC
rnacentral:rRNA from 1 species